rnacentral:rRNA from 1 species
UAGUUGGUGAGGUAAGGGCUCACCAAGGCGACGAUCCCUAGCUGGUCUGAGAGGAUGAUCAGCCACACUGGAACUGAGACACGGUCCAGACUCCUACGGGAGGCAGCAGUGGGGAAUAUUGCACAAUGGGCGCAAGCCUGAUGCAGCCAUGCCGCGUGUGUGAAGAAGGCCUUCGGGUUGUAAAGCACUUUCAGUCGUGAGGAAGGUAGUGUAGUUAAUAGCUGCAUUAUUUGACGUUAGCGACAGAAGAAGCACCGGCUAACUCCGUGCCAGCAGCCGCGGUAAUACGGAGGGUGCGAGCGUUAAUCGGAAUUACUGGGCGUAAAGCGCAUGCAGGUGGUUUGUUAAGUCAGAUGUGAAAGCCCGGGGCUCAACCUCGGAAUAGCAUUUGAAACUGGCAGACUAGAGUACUGUAGAGGGGGGUAGAAUUUCA